GACGAACGCUGGCGGCGUGCUUAACACAUGCAAGUCGAACGGAAAGGCCCUGCUUUCGCGGGGUGCUCGAGUGGCGAACGGGUGAGUAACCCGUGAGUAACCUGCCCUUGACUUUGGGAUAACUUCAGGAAACUGGGGCUAAUACCGGAUAGGAGCUCCUGCAGCAGGGUGGGGGUUGGAAAGUUUCGGCGGUUGGGGAUGGACUCGCGGCUUAUCAGCUUGUUGGUGGGGUAGUGGCUUACCAAGGCUUUGACGGGUAGCCGGCCUGAGAGGGUGACCGGGCACAUUGGGACUGAGGUACGGCCCAGACGCCUACGUUGGGCAGCAGUGGAGAAUAUUGCACAGUGGGCGGAAGCCUGAUGCAGCGGCGCCGCGUGCGGGAUGACGGCUUUCGGGUUGUAAACCGCUUUCGCCUGUGACGAAGCUUGAGUGACGGUAAUAGGAAAAGAAGCACCGGCUAACUACGUG
rnacentral:rRNA from 1 species